rnacentral:lncRNA from 1 species
AAGAUGAGAAAACAAGCCUGAAAAAGAGAAACCUACGACACCCGGAAAUCGGCCUACACCCCCAUAAAUCCCUUAGCGCUUAAGUACCACAAUUCCCCCGUUACCAUUAGAAAAGCAAAUUAACGUUACCAUACUGAAGUUACAAAAACCACGUUAGCCCAUCUCUGGUAUUUUUACCACACCACUCGUCCUCCCUGGGGCCUCGCACACUGGGAUGCUGCUCUAGGAUCCUCUAUCUAUCCUCCACAGCGCCUGUUCGCCGCCUCCGCGUGGUCGCCAAGCCAAGCUGCCAAGCUGCCAAGCUGCUCGCUAGCUUCAUCACCACAUCGCACUGGCUCCUCCUUUCUGGAAUCCUCUCCUAGCUUCACCUCCAAAUCGUUAGGGCUCCUUCUUUCUUCCUAGCUUCCUUCCUUCACCAAACAGCACUGGCUCCCGGACUUCGCCUUCCUUCCUAUCUUCACCACGAACUGCAGCUCGCUCCUCAGUCCUAGCUUCACCGACACUGGCUCCUGGAAUCCUGUCUGCCGCUCCUGUCUUCCUAGAUUCACUGAAUCCACUUCUGCGUAGUACCUGGGUCUGCUGCCAAUUAACGCUAGUCCUCAGGAUUUAAAAAAC